GGACUAUGGAAGUAUUGUAAUGUGCACGGAAAUUGAUUUGGGUCUCUAGGCUUGCCCUCACUAAUGCCUUUCGGCUUUGGUUUGGGGGCAUAGCUCCACAGCA